UUAAGUUCAGCGGGUAGUCCUACCUGAUUUGAGGCCAGAUGUAUAAAAAACGUCUUCAAAAGAAGAACAGGGUUAGAAAGCAGACGGUAGUCAAGUGGAUGGCCAUCUUGCGAUGUCCUCAGCGAAAUACUUAUUACGCCAAGUCAAACCAGUCCUCAAGACAAGUCCAGCUAAUCAAUUUAAGGUGAGCCAUCAAUGAA
rnacentral:misc_RNA from 1 species